CCUGUAAAGAACAUCAAAAUAAUAAUUAUGUAUAUAGUGUAUAAUGACUGGGGGAAAUUCUGUACAUUUCAACCAACUUCUAAGGUUCAGUGUAUAAAGUUAAUCCCCGUACUGGGACAAGAUUUUACAUGCUUGUACAAGCAGGAUACUAUUGAAGAAAUUAUAGGAAGUAAUUGCCAAGUUUUUUUUCUUGUACUUUUAACUUGCUUUUUGUAUUUUAGCAGAAACUUUAAACCAUCAGCUGAAUAUUUUAUAAACACAAUACUGGGCAAACAUAAUCUUAUUUAUGAAUAAACCAUCAGAAACUUUUAAAAAAUAGCUGUGUAUUAUUUAUUGGCAUUAAAAGGUCAAUAUGCUUGUGCUUUUUCAGGAACACAAUCUGCAGGAAACUAUUUACUAACAAACUGACAUAUAUGAUGCUGGUUACAUAAAGUAAUAGCUGCAGAUGCAAAUACUGUUGAUACUUGGACAAAUAACUUUUACAGGAUUGUUUUGCCACCGAUAUGGAAUCAUGCAGCUUAUUUACCAUCAAGUACAAGGUCAAUAAAAAUCAACUAGGUCCACUUCUGGCAUGUGGGCUUUCAGGUGGACAGUCCUGGCCUUUACAAACUGAUAAGAUGCUUGCAUACAUUAGCAUCAUUAGAAUCACCUGACUGCUGUUUCUGCCCCACACAACAAUAAGGAAAUGAUACAAAGCUUUUAGAUUUUUUCUUUUAACCUACUUGCAAUGGAGUUGGACAGGUGUAUAUACAAUUCUGUUGGACUGUCUGCAAAUGUCUAAUAAGAUGUGCCGGACCAAUGGACCAACCAAGCUGAAAGCAAAAGGAAGGGUAUGAAACAUUAAGUACACCACAAUUUUAAUUCUAUUCUUUAUGAGAAAAUAUAAUUGUUGUUAUUUCCUUUUCUCCCUGUGUUUAAAAUUUCAGCUCAGUGACACCACAGCUAAAGAGGAAAUCUCCCUUUAUGUAGACAUCAUAUUAUACUUUGGGGAUCAGGGCCCCUUGCUGUGGAAAGUGAUUACCAUAAAAGACAAAUUUGUACUGUGAUUUGAAAAUAAACUAGAAAAAGUG